rnacentral:rRNA from 1 species
AUUGAACGCUGGCGGCAGGCCUAACACAUGCAAGUCGAGCGGAGCGGCAGACGGGUGAGUAAUGCCUAGGAAUCUGCCUAGUAGUGGGGGAUAACGUACGGCAACGGGCGCUACUCCCGCAUCCUAUCCGAUGAGCCUAGGUCGGAUUAGCUAGUUGGUGGGGUAAAGGCCUACCAAGGCGACGAUCCGUAACUGGUCUGAUAGGCGGAGCAGUCACACUGGAACUGAGACACGGUCCAGACUCCGACGGGAGGCAGCAGUGGGGAAUAUUGGACAAUGGGCGAAAGCCUGAUCCAGCCAUGCCGCGUGUGUGAAGAAGGUCUUCGGAUUGUAAAGCACUUUAAGUUGGGAGGCGUUACCAACAGAAUAAGCACCGGCUAACUUCGUGCCAGCAGCCGCGGUAAUAC